AUGACUAGGGCAAAGCUGCCCAAAAACAUGCCCGCAUUCAUUUGCAUCUGUUCAGGUGCUUUGCUAAUUGCCAGGACCAUCGCAGUAAUCCUUCCAUUAUGGCUGUCGACAUCCCUGGCCGCAAGACAAGGGCCUGUUCCAAUGGCUGGCUAUGAGAUAAGCUUGCAAGUCUGGCUAACAAUUUCUCUACUUAAUGAUGCACUGGCUCUUGCUGGUCAGGCUCUACUUGCAAAUUGGAGGCGUACUGGUCUUGCACUUGCUGCGACCUUGUUCUUUGGGUUUGGAUAUUUGACCUUGCUAUUUACAGAUGAUCCAGCAGUUCUAGAUGUUGCACAGUCUGGAGUCUGGUUUGUCACUAUUACUCAGCCGAUAAAUGCUAUUGCGUUUGUGUUCGAUGGGCUCUACUACGGUGUUUCUGACUUUGGCUAUGCCGCAUACUCCACGGUGCUGUUUCUAUCCCCACUACUGCUUUUUGCGGGGCUCGUCUCCUCAGCCUUCCUCCUUGUCGUUGCUCCCAACUUUGGUCUCGGUGGUGUAUGGGCUGGUCUUACUCUUUUUAUGGGUCUGCGAGCAAUUGCCGGGUUCUGGAGGUUAGGGAGCAAAGGUGGACCAUGGGAAAUAGUCUGGUCAAAGACCGAUUAA
rnacentral:rRNA from 1 species